rnacentral:tRNA from 1 species
GGUGGGGUUCCCGAGCGGCCAAAGGGAGCAGACUGUAANNCAUCGACUUCGAAGGUUCGAAUCCUUCCCCCACCACCA